rnacentral:tRNA from 1 species
GCGGAGAUGGCGUAAUGGCAGACGCGCAGGUUUCAGGUACCUGUAGUGGCAACACUGUGUGGGUUCAACUCCCAUUCUCCGCACCA